GACAGAGGAGGCAAGCGUUAUCCGGAAUUAUUGGGCGUAAAGCGUCCGUAGGUGGUUUGGCAAGUCUGGGGUUAAAGCCCGGAGCCUAACUCCGGAUCGGCCCUGGAAACUGCCAGACUAGAGUAAGGUAGGGGUUGCGGGAAUUCCCGGUGUAGCGGUGAAAUGCGUAGAUAUCGGGAAGAACACCAGUGGCGAAAGCGCGCAACUGGGCCAUUACUGACGCUGAGGUACGAAAGCUAGGGGAGCGAAGGGG
rnacentral:rRNA from 1 species